UGCCAGCCGCCGCGGUAACACGGGGGGGACAAACGUUGUUCGGAUUUACUGGGCGUAAAGGGCGUGUAGGCGGACCUAUUAGUCGGAUGUGAAAUCUCAGGGCUUAACCCUGAGCCUGCACCCGAAACUGUAAGUCUUGAGUAUGUGAGAGGAAAGCGGAAUUCCAGGUGUAGCGGUGGAAUGCGUAGAUAUCUGGAAGAACACCAGUAGCGAAGGCGGCUUUCUGGCACAAUACUGACGCUAAGGCGCGAAGGCCGGGGGAGCAAACAGGAUUAGAUA
rnacentral:rRNA from 1 species